UAACAUAUUUCUAAUAAAAUAGUAUUAUACUUUUGUCUCCAUUGCAAAGUCUUGGAUAAGAUGAAGGGAUUCUCCAUCUAAAACCAGCUCAUAUGAACUGGGUGUAAUGGGAGGCCCUAUCACAGCGACACAUGGCGGAGAAAGACAAGUGGCCUGGUCGUCGGUCAAGAGGGGAAUAGCACGCUCAGCCACAGAGGCCAUAGAAAUGUCUCCGGCAAUCUAUCAUAGGUCGCUUUCAGCCUUUUGGGAGUUUUGAUCGCUAUCUCUCUCCGUCUCACUCUUUUGUAUUUGGCUUUUUCUGUUGUGGACAUGAUUCCCUCUCUCACAUGUAUCAAUGAUCACACUUGGGUGUGCCCACAUUGAGAAAAAUGCUCACGUCUAUGACAACUUCUAGUUCUAUUCGUCUUC